UACGGAGGGUGCAAGCGUUGUUCGGAUUUACUGGGCGUAAAGCGCGCGCAGGUGGGUGAACAAGUCGGAAGUGAAAUCUUGAGGCUCAACCUCGAGGCUGCUCCCGAAACUGUUCGCCUAGGGACUGGUAGAGGCUGGUAGAAUUCCCGGUGUAGCGGUGGAAUGCAUAGAGAUCGGGAAGAAUACCUGUGGCGAAGGCGGCCAGCUGGGCCAGAUCCGACACUGAGGCGCGAAA
rnacentral:rRNA from 1 species